rnacentral:lncRNA from 1 species
GCGGCCCCGGGGCCAUCCCGAGCCCGAGGGGCGGAGAGGGGAGCCGAGAAUUCGGAAGUGAGAAGGGGACCCGGAGACAAAGGGAAAAAACCAAGACUGAGAAAGAAGUGAGAGUAUGGGUGAAAAGAAUGAGAAAGGAUGAUACUGAGAAGACAAAGGGAAAAAGUAGACUGCAUGCCCCUCUACCAAAAGUGUUGUUUGUUGACUUUCGAUUUUUCGAAAGCGAGAAAAGAUAAAGAGCUCUUGACCUGUUUUGUAAGCUAGAUGU